CGCUACUGCCAUGCUGCCCUGAACACGACCGAUCCCGUCUGAUCUCGGAAGCUAAGCAGGGUCGGGCCUGGUUAGUACUUGGAUGGGAGACCGCCUAGGAAGACCAGGUGCUGUAGGCA
rfam:Pteropus alecto contig55356, whole genome shotgun sequence.